rnacentral:rRNA from 1 species
AGAGUUUGAUUAUGGCUCAGGAUGAACGCUGGCGGCAUGCCUAAUACAUGCAAGUCGAACGGACUACACCAUGAACUUGAAGUGCUUGCACUGGAUAGUAAUUAGAAUUUGUAGUUAGUGGCGGACGGGUGAGUAACACGUGGGUUACCUGCCACACAGAAUGGAAUAACUAUUGGAAACGAUAGCUAAUACCGUAUAUGACCUUCGGGUUGAAAGGGGCGUUUGCCUCGCUGUGUGAUGGGCCUGCGGCGCAUUAGCUAGUUGGUAGGGUAAAGGCUUACCAAGGCGAUGAUGUCUAGCCGAGCUGAGAGGUCGAUCGGCCACAUUGGGACUGAGACACGGCCCAAACUUCUACGGGAGGCAGCAGUAGGGAAUUUUCCGCAAUGGACGAAAGUCUGACGGAGCAAUGCCGCGUGAGUGAUGAAGGUUUUCGAAUCGUAAAGCUCUGUUGUAAGGGAAGAACAGCACUAGUAGGAAAUGGCUAGUGUGUGACGGUACCUUACCAGAAAGCCACGGCUAACUACGUGCCAGCAGCCGCGGUAAU